GAUGAACGCUGGCGGCGUGCCUAAUACAUGCAAGUCGAGCGAACGGACGAGAAGCUUGCUUCUCUGUUGUUAGCGGCGGACGGGUGUGUAACACGUGGAUAACCUACCUAUAAGACUGGUAUAACUUCGGGAAACGGGAGCUAAUACCGUAUAAUCUUUUGAACCGCAUGGUUCAUAGGUGAAAGUCGGUCGUGCGGGCAUGUAUAGAUGGUUCCGCGCUGCAUUAGCUAGUUGGUAAGGUAACGGGUUACCAAGGCAACGAUGCAUGGCCGAGCUGAGAGGGUGAUCGGCCGCACUGGAACUGGGACACGGACAUGGCUCCUACGGGAGGCCGCAGUAGCGAAUGGUCCGCAGUGGGCGAGAGCCUGACACAGCGACGGCGAGUGAGUGAUGACGAUCUUCGGAUCGUAAAGCUCUGUUAUUAGGGAAGAACAGAUGUGUAAGUAACUGUGCACAUAUUGACGGUAACUGGUCAGAAAGCCACGGCUAACUACGUG
rnacentral:rRNA from 1 species